CAGCAGCGCGGUAAUACAGAGGCCUCAAGCGUUGUUCGGAUUCAUUGGGCGUAAAGGGUGCGUAGGUGGCUUGGUAUGUUGAAGGUGAAAUCUCGGGGCUUAACCCCGAAACUGCCUUCAAUACUGCUAGGCUCGAGGACUGUAGAGGAGAAUGGAAUUCACGGUGUAGCAGUGAAAUGCGUAGAUAUCGUGAGGAAGACCAGUGGCGAAGGGGAUUCUCUGGGCAGUUCCUGACACUGAGGCACGAAGGCCAGGGGAGCAAACGGGAUUAGAUACCCCAGUAGUCCCUGUCUCUUAUACA
rnacentral:rRNA from 1 species